CACCAGCGCCACGAGUGGGAGUUGAUUUUAUUGGGCCUAAAGCGUCCGUAGCCGGUCAAGUAAAUCUGUUGUGAAAUCGUUGGGCUUAACUUAACGGCAUGCAAUAGAGACUGCUUGGCUAGGGACCGGGAGGAGUCAGAGGUAUUCUGGGGGGAGCGGUAAAAUGCUGUAAUCCCCAGAGGACCACCUGUGGCGAAGGCGUCUGACUAGAACGGCUCCGACGGUGAGGGACGAAAGCUAGGGGAGCGAUCCGG
rnacentral:rRNA from 1 species